UACAGAGGGGGCAAGCGUUGUUCGGAAUUACUGGGCGUAAAGCGCACGUAGGCGGAUUUGUAAGUCAGGGGUGAAAUCCCGGGGCUCAACCUCGGAACUGCCUUUGAUACUGCAAAUCUCGAGUCCGGAAGAGGUGAGUGGAAUUCCUAGUGUAGAGGUGAAAUUCGUAGGUAUUAGGAAGAACACCAGUGGCGAAGGCGGCUCACUGGUCCGGUACUGACGCUGAGGUGCGAAAGCGUGGGGAGCAAACAGG
rnacentral:rRNA from 1 species